rnacentral:misc_RNA from 1 species
UCAAACUUGGUCAUUUAGAGGAAGUAAAAGUCGUAACAAGGUCUCCGUAGGUGAACCUGCGGAGGGAUCAUUAGCGAAAGCUUAUUUGCUUGCACGAGAGGGGCUGUUGGGCUCUCUCCGGGCAGCAAACAAACAAACAAACAAUCUACAUGACUAGGAAUCUGAUUUGGGUUCGGGGGGAGGGCCUGUUUGCAGGCGACAAGUUCUUGUCUGAUAGUCAGUUUGCUGGUUUGGACAUACAACUUUCAACAACGGAUCUCUUGGCUCUCACAUCGAUGAAGAACGCAGC